UACGGAGGGUGCAAGCGUUGUUCGGAUUCAUUGGGCGUAAAGGGUGCGUAGGUGGCGCCGUAAGUCAGGUGUGAAAUUUCGGAGCUUAACUCCGAAACUGCAUUUGAUACUGCGGUGCUUGAGGACUGGAGAGGAGACUGGAAUUUACGGUGUAGCAGUGAAAUGCGUAGAGAUCGUAAGGAAGACCAGUGGCGAAGGCGGGUCUCUGGACAGUUCCUGACACUGAGGCACGAAGGCCAGGGGAGCAAACGGG
rnacentral:rRNA from 1 species